AUAAUAAUAUAAAUUAUUACAAUAAUGUAUAAAAUGACAAUGUGUCAUGUCAGAGGCUCAUAGUGCAACUUGCUUCUGCUUCUCCCAAGUGGCAAAAAAAUCAGUUAUGGCAGAUUUAAGAAAACACAUUUUUGCAUAAUAGUUAUUUUUACUUACUGUAGGUACAAGAUGUGAAUACUUCUUCUGCCGCUGGGCACAUGUUAAGUUCAGUUACAGUUUUUUCUUUUUAAAAAAAAAAUAAAUUUAAAGUUAAGUUUGAAGCCACGCGAUAAGUUAUAUGUUAUGUAUAAAUAACAUUCAAUUAAAAGUAUGAGCUAAGUGUUGAGUUGCAGUUUAACUGACUUUUAGGCAAGGUAAGGCUAAGAUAGGAAUCUGCAUUCAGUUUAUGGCUUCACUGUCACAAGAGAUGUUUGUUGUACAUUUUUUGGUAUCAUUGUAUAUAUCGUGGCAGUAUAACACUUGCUGAAAGUAAACACCUUUGAUUUGUCCAAUAAAAUGUGUUGGCUGGAAAAGAUUUGACAUAAUUAGUUUCCUCUUACAGUAAUUCUGAAAACAAGAUGGUGUUUGAUGAAAAUUUAUUCCUUCAGACCUUCUCUCUCAAAACGUUAUUUAUUCGUGGAACACUGUGUCAUUGCACCAAAGACCACAAAAUAAUUGGUUAAAAGAACAGUUUUAGGAUACAGUAUGUGUAUCAAAGGAAUUAAAAUAAAAAACCUAAAUAUAACAGUGAAGACCUUUGAUACUAAUAUGGGUUAUGCCCAUUUUGCAGCACUUCUAUUAAAUGUGAAUUGUUAUUUAUAUGUGAAAAUUAAUAUUAGAUCAUGGCACAGUUUAACCCUGAGAGAUGAACUGCAGAAAUUAUUUUUGUUUCCACCCAAAGUGAAUCUCUGUUGCUGUGGAAUUGGACAGUUUGUCGAAAGCAAGGUGACCUUCAGCAUCAGACAGGGCGGGACACAUGAUGAUGAUGUCAUGGUGAUGUCAUCUAUCAGGAAGAAAGAGACAGGCAGGCAGACCCUGGUGGAGAGAUCUACUUGGAAACGUAGAGACAAAGAUGAAGAAGAGAAACAGGGACAGAAACUAAAAGACUGACAGAGGAAGAGGAAAAACUGACAGAAGACUAGUGCAGACACAGAAUAACACGGGACACAGAUCAGCAGCAGGACAAGACACAAACUUAUGAUUUGCCCUCCCCAUCCAGGCUCCAUAACUCACCACCGCGCCUGCCG